rnacentral:rRNA from 1 species
ACAUCGAAAGCUUGCUUUUGAUGGGCGUCGACCGGCGCACGGGUGAGUAACGCGUAUCCAACCUGCCCACCACUUGGGGAUAACCUUGCGAAAGUAAGACUAAUACCCAAUGACGUCUCUAGAAGACAUCUGAAGGAGAUUAAAGAUUUAUCGGUGAUGGAUGGGGAUGCGUCUGAUUAGCUUGUUGGUGGGGUAACGGCCCACCAAGCCUGCGAUGGAUAGGGGUUCUGAGAGGAAGGUCCCCACAUUGGAACUGAGACACGGCCCAGACUCC